GACGAACGCUGGCGGCGUGCUUAACACAUGCAAGUCGAACGGAAAGGCCCUGCUUUUGUGGGGUGCUCGAGUGGCGAACGGGUGAGUAACACGUGAGUAACCUGCCCUUGACUUUGGGAUAACUUCAGGAAACUGGGGCUAAUACCGGAUAGGAGCUCCUGCUGCAUGGUGGGGGUUGGAAAGUUUCGGCGGUUGGGGAUGGACUCGCGGCUUAUCAGCUUGUUGGUGGGGUAGUGGCUUACCAAGGCUUUGACGGGUAGCCGGCCUGAGAGGGUGACCGGCCACAUUGGGACUGAGAUACGGCCCAGACUCCUACGGGAGGCAGCAGUGGGGAAUAUUGCACAAUGGGCGGAAGCCUGAUGCAGCAACGCCGCGUGCGGUAUGACGGCCUGCGGGUUGUAAACCGCUUUCGCCUGUGACGAAGCGUGAGUGACGGUAAUGGGUAAAGAAGCACCGGCUAACUACGUG
rnacentral:rRNA from 1 species